rnacentral:rRNA from 1 species
CCUCAAGCGAGGUAGGAGUCGCGUUGGCAAAUCCGCGUGACAAUCCGAAGACGUGAUGCAUACCGAACAAAAGUAGGGAAAUGUGUGAGCCAGCUGCCAAGAAAAGCCGCUAUUGUUUGUACUGUACCCGUACCGUAAACCGACACAGGUAGGUGAGGAGAGAAUCCUAAGGCCGACGGGAGAAGCAUUGUUAAGGAACUCGGCAAAAUGACUCCGUAACUUCGGGAGAAGGAGUGCCAGUGAGAGCUGGCCGCAGAGAAUUGGCCCAAGCAACUGUUUAGCAAAAACACAGGUCUAUGCAAAACCGUAAGGUGAAGUAUAUGGGCUGACGCCUGCCCGGUGCUGGAAGGUUAAGGGGAGAGGUUAGCGCAAGCGAAGCUUUGAACUUAAGCCCCAGUAAACGGCGGCCGUAACGAUAACGGUCCUAAGGUAGCGAAAUUCCUUGUCGGGUAAGUUCCGACCCGCACGAAAGGCGUAAUGAUUUGGGCACUGUCUCAACAAUGCACCCGGUGAAAUUGAAAUACCAGUGAAGAUGCUGGUACCUGCGCCAGGACGGAAAGACCCCAUGGAGCUUUACUCCAGCUUGAUACUGGGAUUCGAUAUUGUAUGUACAGGAUAGGUGGGAGGCGAAGAAGCAUUGACGCCAGUUGAUGCGGAGCCGCUGUUGGGAUACCACCCUUGCAGUAUUGGAUUUCUAACCAGCAGCCGUGACCCGGCUGGGGGACAAUGUCAGGUGGGGAGUUUGACUGGGGCGGUCGCCUCCGAAAGGGUAUCGGAGGCGCUCAAAGGUUCCCUCAGAAUGGUUGGAAACCAUUCGAAGAGUGCAAAGGCAGAAGGGAGCUUGACUGCGACACCGACGGGUGGAGCAGGUACGAAAGUAGGACUUAGUGAUCCGGUGGUAUAAAGUGGGAUUGCCAUCGCUCAACGGAUAAAAGCUACCCUGGGAUAACAGGCUUAUCACUCCCAAGAGUUCACAUCGACGGAGUGGUUUGGCACCUCGAUGUCGGCUCAUCGCAUCCUGGGGCUGAAGUAGGUCCCAAGGGUUGGGCUGUUCGCCCAUUAAAGCGGUACGCGAGCUGGGUUCAGAACGUCGUGAGACAGUUCGGUCCCUACCCGGCGUGGGCGUAGGAUAUUUGAGAGGAGCUGGCCUUAGUACGAGAGGACCGGGCUGGACUGACCGCUGGUGUAUCUGUUGUUCCGCCAGGAGCAUGGCAGAGUAGCCAAGUCAGGAAGGGAUAAACGCUGAAGGCAUCUAAGCGUGAAGCCCCCCUCAAGAUGAGAUAUCCCAACGAAAGUUGUAAGACCCCUUGAAGACGACAAGGUAGAUAGGGCAGAGGUGGAAGUGCAGUAAUGCAUGGAGCUGACUGUUACUAAUCGGUCGAGGGCAUAACC